AUUCAAAUGUGAUUGGUAUAUGACAAUAGAAUACAUUAUAAGAUUAUUGUCAACACUAUAAAUAUGAAAAAUUGCAAACUAUAGCCCAGUAGUGUUUAUAAUUAGGCUUUUAUUGAAUAGUGGUGAUGAAAAACUUUCUCCUCUAAACAUGAAGGCCUCAUGUUUGAGUUCCUAUAUGAGAGUUGUAGUGUGGUGUGCUAUAUAGAAGUGGAGGGGUCUUAUGGGCUUAUUCAACAUUAGGUGCUCUCAGCCCAUGACAUGUAUGAUGCUUUCUUAACAUUGAGCUGUGACCAACUAGGCCUGAUCCACAAGGCAGAACCCACAUGUGGGCCUAAUGAGAUUAUGUAAUCUAUCUAGGUUGUGAUGUUACCUAGUUGGCAUUGAACUUAUCCCACAUCGGUAGUUAUGAAAAGCAGCAAGCCUUUAUAAGAAAUAGAAGACAACUAAAAGGUUGUCCCUUCGGGGACAUCCGAUA
rnacentral:misc_RNA from 1 species